rnacentral:rRNA from 1 species
UACAGAGGGCUCAAGCGUUAAUCGGAAUCACUGGGCUUAAAGGGUCCGCAGGCGGACCGGUAAGUAUUUUGUGAAAGACCAUGGCUCAACCAUGGCAUUGCUUAAUAAACUACCGGUCUUGAGCAUAUUAGAGGUCAUCGGAACAGUAGGUGGAGCGGUGAAAUGCGUAGAUAUCUACUGGAACGCCAACGGAGAAGUCAGAUGACUGGGAUAUUGCUGACGCUCAGGGACGAAAGCGUGGGUAGCGAACGGG